rnacentral:rRNA from 1 species
AAUAGAUACCCUGGUAGUCCACGCUGUAAACGGUGGGUACUAGGUGUGGGGUCCAUUCCACGGGUUCCGUGCCGUAGCUAACGCUUUAAGUACCCCGCCUGGGGAGUACGGCCCCAAGGCUAAAACUCAAAGGAAUUGACGGGGCCCCGCACAAGCGGCGGAGCAUGCGGAUUAAUUCGAUGCAACGCGUAGAACCUUACCUGGGUUUGACAUGGAUCGGGAGCGCUCAGAGGUGGGUGUGCCUCUUUUGGGGUCGGUUCACAGGUGGUGCAUGGCUGUCGUCAGCUCGUGUCGUGAGAUGUUAGGUUAAGUCCCGCAACGAGCGCAACCCUUGUUCACUGUUGCCAGCACGUUAUGGUGGGGACUCAGUGGAGACCGCCGGGGUCAACUCGGAGGAAGUGGGGAUGACGUCAAGUCAUCAUGCCCCUUAUGUCCAGGGCUUCACGCAUGCUACAAUGGCUGGUACAGAGAGUGGCGAGCCUGUGAGGGUGAGCGAAUCUCGGAAAGCCGGUCUCAGUUCGGAUUGGGGU